rnacentral:rRNA from 1 species
GAGAAGAUAGUGGCGGACGGGUGAGUAACACGUGGGWAACCUGCCCAUAAGAGGGGGAUAACAUCCGGAAACGGUGCUAAUACCGCAUAGUUUUCUUGAUCGCAUGAUYGAGAAAGGAAAGACGGCCUUUGUGCUGUCGCUUAUGGAUGGACCCGCGGCGUAUUAGUUAGUUGGUGAGGUAAUGGCUCACCAAGACGAUGAUACGUAGCCGACCUGAGAGGGUGAUCGGCCACAUUGGGACUGAGACACGGCCCAAACUCCUACGGGAGGCAGCAGUAGGGAAUCUUCCGCAAUGGACGAAAGUCUGACGGAGCAACACGCGUGAGUGAAGAAGGUUUUCGGAUCGUAAAACUCUGUUGUCAGAGAAGAACAAGUCGGAGAGUAACUGCUCCGACCUUGACGGUAUCUGACCAGAAAGCCACGGCUAACUACGUGCCAGCAGCCGCGGUAAUACGUAGGUGGCAAGCGUUGUCCGGAUUUAUUGGGCGUAAAGCGAGCGCAGSGUUCCUUAAGUCUGAUGUGAAAGCCCACGCUCAACCGUGAAGGUCAUUGGAAACUGGGGAACUUGAGUGCAGAAGAGGAGAGUGGAAUUCCAUGUGUAGCGGUGAAAUGCGUAGAUAUAUGGAGGAACACCAGUGGCGAAGGCGACUCUCUGGUCUGUAACUGACGCUGAGGCUCGAAAGCGUGGGGAGCAAACAGGAUUAGAUACCCUGGUAGUCCACGCCGUAAACGAUGAGUGCUAAGUGUUGGAGGGUUUCCACCCUUCAGUGCUGCAGCUAACGCAUUAAGCACUCCGCCUGGGGAGUACGGCCGCAAGGCUGAAACUCAAAGGAAUUGACGGGGACCGCACAAGCGUGGAGCAUGUGGUUUAAUUCGAAGCAACGCGAAGAACCUUACCAGGUCUUGACAUCCUUUGACAAUCCUAGAGAUAGGACUUUCCUCGGGGACAAAGUGACAGGUGGUGCAUGGUUGUCGUCAGCUCGUGUCGUGAGAUGUUGGGUUAAGUCCCGCAACGAGCGCAACCCCUAUUGUUAGUUGCCAGCAUUCAGUUGGGCACUCUAAUGAGACUGCCGGUGACAAACCGGAGGAAGGUGGGGAUGACGUCAAAUCAUCAUGCCCCUUAUGACCUGGGCUACACACGUGCUACAAUGGAUGGUACAACGAGCAGCAAGACCGCGAGGUCAAGCGAAUCUCUUAAAGCCAUUCUCAGUUCGGAUUAAGGCUGCAACUCGCCUGCAUGAAGCCGGAAUCGCUAGUAAUCGCGGAU